rnacentral:lncRNA from 1 species
UUCUUUGAUGCUACCUAUCUUUAAGCAUCAUCUCUGGUUCGUCACCUAUGAUGCGAUCGUGACUACAAAUCUACGGAUUCUUCUUCUCCAGAAUUGAUCCAGCUGAUGUCGAUGCAACCUUGAAGCUCUUGCGGAACCUGAAUCACCACUGCCUCAAACGAGAAGCCCUUUGACUCAAUCCUUAUCCAACCUCAAUAGCCCGUAGACACCAAACUCCUCAUCCUGA